rnacentral:ncRNA from 3 species
UUCUUAUCCAGAGAAGCUGAGGGACUGGCCCGAUGACGCUUCGGCAGCAGACUUUCCACAAAGUACUGUGCCAAUUCCAGCAGGCAACGCGCCUGGGAGAUGAGAA